CAGUGUCUUCUUGUGUUCAGUCUUAAUCUUCACAAAUGAGCCUUUUGGGGUAUCCCUGUGCUUGGCUUCUUGGAGGGAGUAUCUGUGUAGGGCAGUAUUGCCAGACAGCCCCAAGAGCCCCGCCCCUGGUGUGUGCAUUCUGCAUCAUCCCCGAGAUUGUGAAUAUGAUGGGUUUUACUCCAUCAUUGGGUUGCAUCAUAAGGCACAGCUAACUUUAAGAAAGGGAGAUUAUUGGGAUGGGCCUAACCUAAUCAGGAGAGCACUUAAAAGGGAUGGUUCUUCCCAGAGAGAGACUCUAAGUGUGAGAGAGAUUCGAUGCGGGAGCUCUGUUUCUGGCUUUGACAAUGGAGGAGGCAUGUGGCAAGGAAUGCGGCUGGCCUCUAAGAGCAGCCCCUCGCUGACGGUGAGGAAACAGGGACCCCAGUCCAACAGCUGCAAGGAACUGAGUUCUGCCAUAACCAGGUGAACUGGAAGAGAACCCGGAGCGUGAGGCGAGAACACAGCCAGCCGACACCUGACAGCUGAUUUCAGCCUGUGAGACCCUGAGCAGAGAACUCAGCUACACUCCGCCCGGUCUUCUGACCUACAGAACCGUGAGCUAAUGCACUUAUGUGGUUUUAAGCCACUAAGUUUGCGGUGAUCUCUUACAGAGUGAUAGACAGCUGAGAUGCUGAUGCUUCACCUGCCAGCAGAGAAGAGGGGAAAAGAUUCCAGGACUCUUCAUUUAAGUCAACAACCCCCAAAUACAGUUAAUGGUGACCUAAACUCCCAUGGAAGAAAGAGGAAAAGAAAAUUAUGCUUAACGUAUGGCAUAUCCUGUCCCGGUGCACCGAACUUAUUAGGAACUGGGUAUGGCAUGAGGUGGACCCAGACGUCAGACUUAGGAUGAGUGUGUAACAGAUGUGUGUUGAAUAGGGGAAAGGUGACAUAGGAGGUGGGACUCGAAGCAGAGUCUGGUCAGGUUGACAAAAGCCAUCACCUGGCCUGGCCCUGGACAGGUCAGAGGGCCACUCCCCAAAGGGCUUGUGCAACAUCGAUGAAGACACCCCAGCAGACUUGUCUUCUUGCUUUCACAGUGGAGAGGCACUCGGUGAUCAGGGACAAGCAGUCCCAGCCUGGGGUUUUCCUGGGGACUUUGAAUGCUAAAAUGAGACAGUCUGGGUAAACCAGGACAGUUGACCACCCUACUCAGUGAGUCCCACCCGAGGUUCAAAUUCUCCUCGUAAAGGAUGUGGGUUGAUUCCAGAACCUUUGAAACCAUCAUCUCACCUCUACAGGAACCUUGAGUGUGGUGUCUGAGAGGAGAGUUAUAGCUCCCAGCCAGAAUCCUUUUAUAUGUGAGAGAAAUAAAUGUGAAUCAUUUUUAUAUCGCUGUUAUUCUGGAUUCUCUGUCACUAACAGUCAAACCAAAUUCCUACUGAUAAGACUGUAUAAAAGUAAUACUAAUUAAAUUCAUUUACAUAAGCCCACCAAUUUCACUCUUAAUUACUGUGAUGCGCAAUAAUGAAGUACACACCCCAACAUACCAUUGUAAGUUUUAUUUGAUUUCAGCACUAAACUUAGUUUAUAGAUAUGCUUGGCUUCUUUCAACAGUUUGUUGAUUACAUAGUAUAAUCAUCCACUGACAACUUAAAAAACAUGGGAGGAGACAUAUUUCUUCCAGUGUGUGAAUGGAGGCCCAGGGCACCACGCCCCACUGUUGAAUUGGAAUAAAUGGAUCAAUCCUUUUUGAACAGAGUCUGAGAGACAGCAUUAACACACACCUCAUGGCCAAAGUACAUUUUAUUCAGCCUUUGCCGCAUGCAGUUGUUUUUGGGGACAUGGUGUGACCCUUGGCAUAUCUGCAUCUGUGAAAUAAUAAGCCAUUCUUUAAAUCAAGAUUUUGCAGCAUUACGAAUGCUUGGAGAGGGUUUUCAAAAUUAUUAUUCUAGUGCUAGUCUGCUUCCCUUCUUUCUCUUAAAUAAUCUGCAUUAGGCAUUCAAAAGGUCCACUCAUCCCAGGACAUGACUAGAGCUAAUUUGCUGAGAGCCUCUGAGCACCGCCCAGCCCUGCUCAGGACAUCUGCUGGGAACUUAAAUCAUUUUAAGUGGAGGAAUUAGCCUCCUGUUUUCUGCUGGGAAAGAAACGUGACUCUGGGUAUUCCGCACCAGGCUUUUAAUGGUGGAAAUGAACUAUGCUGCAGAUAUACAAAAGAAAAAUAAAUCCAUCUUCUUUUACUAGGAGCUUGACACUUUUAUUUAGAAAAUUUACAUUUCUGAAUGCUUCCUUCGUACAUUACAGAUGCAUUUCAAAUGUGACUCUGUUAGGUUAAUAGUCUACGCCUUAAAAACAGAUCAGGAUGAAAGUGGGAUUUGAGGCCACUUUGAAGGAAGAAAGAAAGAAGAGAGAGGAUUUAGCUAAUGAUAAGAUGAAUCAAAGAGCAUAACAAAUUCUUUUCUUGCAAAAGCAGAGAAAUUCUGAUAAGCCUGAAAGACUCUGAAUAGAGAAACAUGCUCUUGUAAAUUACUUUUGCAUCAGCACUUACCUCCCCAAGACUUUAACAUGGAAAAUCUAAAUGGGAAUUCUAUAUAAUGGACCAUCAUCCACAAUAUAUCAGUUAUGGAUGUACAUACUGUGUGUGUUUUUAAUAUGCUUUUCUAUCUGUGGUUUCAGUGUUGAAUGCUGUUUUCUCCGCACAUAGAACAAACUGAAAGACAGCUUGGAAUUGACUUCUGCACAUUGCCACACCACUACGACAACGGCUCCAAUCUGAGUAAGAUUCAGGAGUGAAAUCGAUGCAAGGAGCUCCAUGGAAGUAGGAUUGAAUGCCUCUGGUCUUUUGGCAAGCUGUUUUCAUCAAGUCAUAGCAAGUAUCACGUCUCAAGCCAUCAUAUGACAAGACAUUCUGUAAGGAGUUUACUCAUUAUUUACUGAGCAUGUCAAAGUGUUGGCUGCCUCCAGGGCUCUCAGGGGAGCACAUAUUUGCCAGAGUAUUUCUGUGAGAAAUACAAGCAAGAGAUAAAUUUGCCACUCAUUUUCAGGACUGCCACUAAGAACACAUAGUCUGUUUGCUCCCUCUCCUGCAGAGGUUUCUGGGUACAGAGAAAAUACCAUUAAGAAAUAGAUGUAACAUCAAGGUAUCCUAGGCUGGGUGACUGCUAUGAACUGUCCCCAUACCCACAGUGUAAAUAUGAUCUCUUUUCUUUUGUGUCUUUCAACUAAUGACUUAAAUUCCAUGUACUGUAUCAACAGGAAAGCUAAUAUCUUCUUCUUGAAUUUUAUGCCCCCUUAGCCUGAAUUAUGAAAAAUCUCUGGAAGUUUUGUAAAGAUUAUCUUUGAUUUUCACUGCCACACAGAGUUGCUGUCAAAAGCUUGUUCUCUGCAGGAUGACCAAUGAUGUUGGUCCAUUUUGCAGUGAUGUCUGGGUGGCCCAGAUCCCUGUACAGGAUGCUCUGGACUUUCCAGGACCAUGAUCCCCUUGCUGUCAAAGCUGGGCCAAGGCUACCCUGCGCUUCGGCUCUCCAGGAGCGUUGGCAGCAUUUUCAACGCUGUUGGAAGAGACUCAGUCAAAGGAAUGAAGAAGAAGAACGUGGAUGCUGAUGCAGGUGAGGCUGCGCAUUUGGCAUGUGAACAUUGAGGCGGUUUAAAUACUUCAGCAAAUAGGAGACAAAGUUACGUGCUGAGAAUGAG
rnacentral:lncRNA from 1 species